UACGAGGGGUGCAAGCGUUGUUCGGAAUCACUGGGCGUAAAGGGAGCGUAGGCGGAACUCCAAGUCGGUCGUACAAUGCCGGGGCCCAACCCCGGACCUGCGGCCGAGACUGGUUUUCUUGAGUUAUUCAGAGGCAAGCGGAAUUCCUAGUGUAGCGGUGGAAUGCGUAGAGAUUAGGAAGAACACCAAUGGCGAAGGCAGCUUGCUGGGGAUUGACUGACGCUGAGGCUCGAAAGCGCGGGUAGCAAACAGG
rnacentral:rRNA from 1 species